UGAAGACCAGCCGUCAGAGCUGAUAAACUGUGACUGUGGCAAUUUGGCUGAACCUGACAUCGAAAAUGUCGAAGUGACAGAGCUCGUCAUCAAAGAAACAAUAUUGGUCAUCUUACUCCAUUAGAGAUCUGAAAUUACCAGUAUCUCGGAAGUUGAGGAAGGAAAGAAAUGUGAGAAAAAUCAAGAAAACUGGUUUCAAGGUAGUAAUAACGAAUCCAAGUAAUGAGCUAAUUGAGGAAAAAUUAGCGUUUGUCAGGUUACAAAAAGAAAAAUUCUCAGAAGAGCAUUCUUUGAGAAUGACUAUUCUC